rnacentral:rRNA from 1 species
UACGGGGGAUGCGAGCGUUAUCCGGAUUUAUUGGGCGUAAAGGGAACGCAGGCGGUCUUUUAAGUCUGAUGUGAAAGCCUUCGGCUUAACCGGAGUAGUGCAUUGGAAACUGUUGAACUUGAGUGCAGAAGAGGAGAGUGGAACUCCAUGUGUAGCGGUGGAAUGCGUAGAUAUAUGGAAGAACACCAGUGGCGAAGGCGGCUCUCUGGUCUGCAACUGACGCUGAGGCUCGAAAGCAUGGGUAGCGAACAGG